GGGGUUCUGGCUCAGUGGUAGAGGGCUUACCUAGCAAGUAUGAGACACUGUGUUCAAUCCUCAGCACCACA
rnacentral:tRNA from 1 species